rfam:Cricetulus griseus cell line CHO-K1, whole genome shotgun sequence.
GUCUACAGUCCUACCACCCUGAAAGUGCUCAAUCUCAUCUGAUCUCAGAAGCUAAGCAGGGUCGGGCCUGGUUAGUACUUGGAUGGAAGAACACUGUAAAGACAGUCACUGAAUUAC